rnacentral:lncRNA from 1 species
AGAAUUGUCACAGAACAAACAGCUGCCCCCCAAAUUGGAGCAAAUGACAGGCAAAUAAACAGAGAAUCACAGCUUCCCAGAGCAAAAGACCUGAAGGGGACGUAUCCAGCAGAACUCAGAAGCAGCCUAAGAAAACUUCAAUUAAUUCACACAUUGCCAGAGGCUCGGUGUGGACAAGCUUGCAAGUUACACUCCAGGGGGUCCUGUCUUGGAGAGAGGGGGCACACUUUUGUUUUAUGUUUUAUGUUCUAUGUCUAGGAACCCUGCUAGGUUCUCACUGUGAAGAUCAGGGAACAACCCAUUGUGCUUGUAUCGGGGGAAGGGAAAGGUAGCCAUUUAACAGUAUACCGGAGCAUUCAGCCCUCAAGAGAAACUGUUUUACCAGAGUCUGACCAAUUGGAGUUUUAUUGGAGCCCAGUUAACUUGGGGGGAAGGAAAAACGCCAACACCAACUCCAGAUUUCCUCCAGCCUUCCUGUUUCUCUGGGGAGAAAAAAGCUUAGAAGCACCUGUCAAGAUCUCAGCCCAGAGGCACAGGCUUACUAAAGACCUAGACCUCAUCAUAGGACUAUAGAACACCUCCCAUACCCUGACACCAUACCACCACAUCAGCAAGGCUCCUGUGUAGUAACAGAGGAAUAAAAUGGAAAGAACUGAGCAUCUCAGACCUUAUUUAAGAAGGCUGUAGAGAAACUCAAAGAUAACAGGGGAGACAAAAACAUGGACACCAGAGAAAAUUUUAGCUUCGGAAAACACUCUAGCAAACAAUAAAGACGGCCCAUCAUUAAAGUCGCCAGGUCAACCAGAUGUAGC